GCCAUGGUCAGCCUAGUUAGGAGGGCAGCUCGUCUACCUUGUAAGCGUUAAGCCGUGGGUUCGAUUCCCACCCGUUGCG
rnacentral:tRNA from 1 species